rnacentral:misc_RNA from 1 species
CCGAGUUUACAACUCCCAAACCCCAUUGUGAACAUUACCAAUUGUUGCCUCGGCGGGAUCGCCCCGGGUGCGUUGCAGCCCCGGAUUAAGGCACCCGCCGGAGGACCCCUAUAAAAACCCUUUUGUGCCGCCCUUUUGGCGGUCUUGAACCUCUGAGCAUCUCGACGCUCUCUAGAGCGGACGAAUGAAUCA